rnacentral:rRNA from 1 species
UAGAGUUUGAUUYUGGCUCAGGACGAACGCBGGCGGCGUGCUUAACACAUGCAAGUCGAGCGGUAAGGCCCUUUCGGGGGUACACGAGCGGCGAACGGGUGAGUAACACGUGGGUGACCUGCCCUUAGCUCUGGGAUAAGCCUGGGAAACUGGGUCUAAUACCGGAUAUGACUUCACGGUGCAUGCCGUGGGGUGGAAAGCCUUGUGCGGCUAGGGAUGGGCCCGCGGCCUAUCAGCUUGUUGGUGGGGUGAUGGCCUACCAAGGCGACGACGGGUAGCCGGCCUGAGAGGGCGACCGGCCACACUGGGACUGAGACACGGCCCAGACUCCUACGGGAGGCAGCAGUGGGGAAUCUUACGCAAUGGGCGAAAGCCUGACGCAGCGACGCCGCGUGAGGGAUGACGGCCUUCGGGUUGUAAACCUCUUUCAGCUCCGACGAAGCGAGAGUGACGGUAGGAGCAGAAGAAGCACCGGCCAACUACGUGCCAGCAGCCGCGGUAAUACGUAGGGUGCAAGCGUUGUCCGGAAUUAUUGGGCGUAAAGAGCUCGUAGGCGGUCUGUCGCGUCGGCUGUGAAAACUCGGGGCUCAACUCCGAGCUUGCAGUCGAUACGGGCAGACUAGAGUUCGGCAGGGGAGACUGGAAUUCCUGGUGUAGCGGUGAAAUGCGCAGAUAUCAGGAGGAACACCGGUGGCGAAGGCGGGUCUCUGGGCCGAUACUGACGCUGAGGAGCGAAAGCGUGGGGAGCGAACAGGAUUAGAUACCCUGGUAGUCCACGCCGUAAACGUUGGGCGCUAGGUGUGGGAUCCCUUCCACGGGUUCCGUGCCGCAGCUAACGCAUUAAGCGCCCCGCCUGGGGAGUACGGCCGCAAGGCUAAAACUCAAAUGAAUUGACGGGG